GCCAUUUCGCCGGAAACUAAUUACCGUGCGUUUGCUUGACCAAAGAGGUAGAGGCCAGAGGCAUGCUAUCCGCUACGCAGCAUGAUACAAAAAUGUACCAGCAUACUACUGAUAAUGAUUUUCACCAAAAGAAAUUAUGUCGCGUAGUUUAACGUUCCAUCUGAUAUGCGCGCCACCAUCCAUUUCAAAAGUCCAAAGCUAAGAGCAAGGAAAAAUCAGCAAGCUAAAAUUAAUUUAUCCAAAAAAAUCGGAUUUUUUUAUAAUAAAAAGUAAAAAUCAAAUGAAAUUUUUUAAGCCUGGGAAAAUUAUAAAUAUCGAAAAUCGGAGAGAGUGAAAAGGGAGGAAGCUAUAAACAGUAGGGUAAAAAAUGAAGUUUCAGGUCUGGUUAGCCUUGGGAAUCUUGGCAUUGUUGUUGGCCUCAGCCUGGGCAGACGAUGUCCUCGUGCUAACCGAAGAAAACUUUGAGAAGGAAGUCGGUCAAGACAGAGGGGCUGUCGUCGAGUUCUAUGCUCCUUGGUGCGGACACUGUCAGAAGCUAGCUCCUGAGUAUGAGAAGCUUGGGGCGAGUUUUAAGAAGGCUAAAUCAGUCUUGAUUGGAAAGGUAGACUGUGAUGAGCAUAAGAGUGUAUGCGGCAAAUAUGGUGUUGAAGGCUACCCAACUAUAAAGUGGUUUCCUAAGGGCUCUUUGGAUCCUAAACAGUAUGAAGGACCUCGUACAGCAGAGUCUCUUGCUGAAUUUGUGAACACUGAAGGAGGAACGAAUGUGAAGAUAGCCACUUUGCCAUCCAAUGUUGUUGUUCUAAAUGCUGAUAAUUUUGACGAGGUUGUUCUUGAUGAGACCAAAAAUAUGUUUGUUGAGUUUUAUGCACCCUGGUGUGGCUAUUGCAAAAACCUUGCUCCUACCUAUGAAAAGGUAGCAACGGCAUUUAAAAUGGAAGAAGAUGUAGUGAUAGCUAAUAUAGAUACUGACAAGUACAAGGAUCUAGCUGAGAAGUAUGGAGUAAGUGGGUAUCCAACAUUGAAAUUCUUUCCAAAAGGCAACAAAGCUGGUGAAGACUAUGAUGGUGGUCAGAGUUUAGAUGAAUUUGUUGCUUUCAUCAAUGUGCAGUGUGGCACCAAUCGUGAUGCGAAAGGACAACUAACUUCAAAGUUUUUUUGCAAAGGCUGGUAUCUUGUCAAGUUUGGAUGCAUUGGGGAAGCAGUUUGUGGCUGCUAGCAUUGAUGAGAGGAAAACAGUCUUCUCUAAGAUUGAAGAAGUUGAGAAGCUUAAGGGCUCCUCUGCGAGUUAUGGAAAGAUAUACUUGAAAGCUGCUAAAAGCUAUUUGGAGAAAGGUGCUGAUUAUCCCAAGAAGGAAAUUGAGCGGCUGCAGCGCAUUCUUGACAAGUCAAUAAGCCCAGCAAAAGCCGAUGAAUUGACGCUCAAGAAGAAUAUCCUUUCAACAUUUGCUUGAACUUCAUAGGUCAUUGCGCUUAUUACGCUUGUGUAAUGCAGUGCACCGUUGGGGUUAAUUUUCCACGUUUUUGAGGAUUGAUCCUGGUAUUUCACCUCUAAUUUUGAAUCUUGGGGGAUCUUCCAGCCACAAAUCACUUGGCUUUUCAUUUGGAUUAAGAACAUACGGCUGUGGCCUCAGUUCAAAUCUGAAGAAGCUGCUUGGCUGGGAAUCAAAUGAUAUUUAUGAAAUAAAUUUUGGAGAUGUUGAAACUGAGGUUUUUACAACAAGAAUUCUAAUUUACAACGGGGACGUUGCUCCGAUAUCAG